rnacentral:rRNA from 1 species
GAUGAACGCUAGCUACAGGCUUAACACAUGCAAGUCGAGGGGCAGCAUGAACUUAGCUUGCUAAGUUUGAUGGCGACCGGCGCACGGGUGAGUAACACGUAUCCAACCUUCCGUUUACUCAGGGAUAGCCUUUCGAAAGAAAGAUUAAUACCUGAUAGUAUGGUGAGAUUGCAUGAUAGCACCAUUAAAGAUUUAUUGGUAAACGAUGGGGAUGCGUUCCAUUAGGUAGUAGGCGGGGUAACGGCCCACCUAGCCGACGAUGGAUAGGGGUUCUGAGAGGAAGGUCCCCCACAUUGGAACUGAGACACGGUCCAAACUCCUACGGGAGGCAGCAGUGAGGAAUAUUGGUCAAUGGACGAGAGUCUGAACCAGCCAAGUAGCGUGAAGGAUGAAGGUCCUACGGAUUGUAAACUUCUUUUAUAAGGGAAUAAACCCUCCCACGUGUGGGAGCUUGUAUGUACCUUAUGAAUAAGCAUCGGCUAACUCCGUGCCAGCAGCCGCGGU